rnacentral:tmRNA from 1 species
GGGGCUGAUUCGGUCUCGACCGUGGUCAGUCCGUUGCCAUGGGAGCGUGCCGAGGGUGCUCACGCGACCUCGACAAAACGCGUGGGAAACCAUAACUGCCAAGGACACUGACCUGGCCCUCGCGGCCUAAACACCCGCGACGAUCCGCCCCUGACGCCUCGUAGGGGGACCGGAUCGACAUCACGAGGCUCCACCGUGGGUGCUCCGACCGUCGGGCACCCGUGGGAAAUCUUCGACGGUAUGGAUGCGGAAGCUGUCUGGCCCUGGAGCACCGCAUCCGAGAUCAUCCAGGACCUACGCACGUAGAGCCCCGAGCUUCGGGACCGCGGGACCCGGGUUCGACUCCCGGCAGCUCCACC